rnacentral:rRNA from 1 species
UUGGUUCCCACAUCGAUGAAAAACGCAGCGAAAUGCGAUAAGUAAUGUGAAUUGCAGAAUUCAGUGAAUCAUCGAAUCUUUGAACGCACAUUGCGCCCCCUGGUAUUCCGGGGGGCAUGCCUGUUCGAGCGUCAUAAAAACCUCCUCCCCCUUCGGGUUUUGUUACUAUCGUUGGGGGGUUUUGGCCUAAUGGGAUAGCGAUUGGCAAUUCGUUUCCCAAUGUCCUAAAUAAACGUAGACCCGCCUCCAGAUGCGACAGCACCGAGGCCAUCAACCGUGGAGUUAUGGGAUAUAUAGGCUUGCAGUAAAAUGCUCACCUCUCUUCACACGCCGAUGGCACGACAGUUGCAGUUGCGGGCGUAAAUUGGAGCCCUUUUCAGGACCCUCGUGGCCUAGCAUCCACAAUACAUAAUUUGACCUCGGAUCAGGUAGGGAUACCCGCUGAACUUAAGCAUAU